AUGCAGUUUGAUUUUUUUAUGAUUGCAUAUUGAUCCGAGGGAUUGAUAGAAAAAAAAUCUGCGAUGAUUUUAUUGUUAUAUAAAUUUUAUUAUUUCGUAAAAUUCUGAUACCCACAUCGUGGUACAUGGCUUGGCGACCCCAUUCAUGGUUGCGAUCGAGAUGUCCGUGGAAGUAAAAGGCGAGAGCUUGGGGAACAUUUGUUUUGUUCAUAGGGAGAAGAGAGGAAGCCGUGAGUGGGCCUCAUGGAGGCGUAAUCUUUUUUUUGUUCUUGUCCACCACCCCAUGCGUCCACCAUGGCUCGCAUUUAAUAGAAAGCACGUUGAUGUAAAGGAUUUUUAGGGUCUUUGUCCAUAUAUCGGACGAGAAUGAGUCAACCCGAUAGUUUCUCCUACCGCCCUUGCACCGCCUUCUUCCGGUCCUUCGU
rnacentral:lncRNA from 1 species